CACCGCCGUCACAUCACGAAAUGGGUUGUACUAGAAGUCCGCACGCUGACCCGCAAGGGGGCAGCGGCCCAAGGUAUGACUCAUGAUUGGGGUG
rnacentral:rRNA from 1 species